rnacentral:rRNA from 1 species
UCUCAUUAUUUUUGUACCUGGCUCAGGACGAACGCUGGCGGCGUGCCUAAUACAUGCAAGUUGAGCGCUGAAGGUUGGUACUUGUACCGACUGGAUGAGCAGCGAACGGGUGAGUAACGCGUGGGGAAUCUGCCUUUGAGCGGGGGACAACAUUUGGAAACGAAUGCUAAUACCGCAUAAAAACUUUAAACACAAGUUUUAAGUUUGAAAGAUGCAAUUGCAUCACUCAAAGAUGAUCCCGCGUUGUAUUAGCUAGUUGGUGAGGUAAAGGCUCACCAAGGCGAUGAUACAUAGCCGACCUGAGAGGGUGAUCGGCCACAUUGGGACUGAGACACGGCCCAAACUCCUACGGGAGGCAGCAGUAGGGAAUCUUCGGCAAUGGACGAAAGUCUGACCGAGCAACGCCGCGUGAGUGAAGAAGGUUUUCGGAUCGUAAAACUCUGUUGGUAGAGAAGAACGUUGGUGAGAGUGGAAAGCUCAUCAAGUGACGGUAACUACCCAGAAAGGGACGGCUAACUACGUGCCAGCAGCCGCGGUAAUACGUAGGUCCCGAGCGUUGUCCGGAUUUAUUGGGCGUAAAGCGAGCGCAGGUGGUUUAUUAAGUCUGGUGUAAAAGGCAGUGGCUCAACCAUUGUAUGCAUUGGAAACUGGUAGACUGAGUGCAGAGAGAGACGAUAAACUC